UUUUCCUUUAAAUUUAGUCCCGUGAGGCUAAGAAGGAGCGAGAUGUCUCAGGGUGGGGUGCGUCCUCAGUCUGAACUCUAAAAGACUUGCUUUUUUUGUGCGAGUUUCUUUAAGUAACCAUCAACUCCUGUCCUCUGCGGGCAGGAGUUUUUUUGUA
rfam:Aerococcus sanguinicola strain CCTG43001, complete genome.